UACGGAGGGGGCGAGCGUUAUUCGGAAUUAUUGGGCGUAAAGGGCGCGUAGGCGGCUAGGUAAGUCAAAGGUGAAAUCCCUCGGCUCAACUGAGGAACUGCCUUUGAAACUGUCUAGCUCGAGGCCGGGAGGGGGUGGCGGAAUUCCCAGUGUAGCGGUGAAAUGCGUAGAGAUCGGGAGGAAGGCCGGUGGCGAAGGCGGCGCUCUGGAACGUUACUGACGCUGAGACACGGAAGCGUGGGGAGCAAACAGG
rnacentral:rRNA from 1 species